UACGUAGGGGGCUAGCGUUGUCCGGAAUCAUUGGGCGUAAAGAGCGUGUAGGCGGUCCGGUAAGUCCGCUGUGAAAGUCGGGGGCUCAACCCUCGGAUGCCGGUGGAUACUGUCGGGCUUGAGUACGGAAGAGGCGAGUGGAAUUCCUGGUGUAGCGGUGAAAUGCGCAGAUAUCAGGAGGAACACCAAUUGCGAAGGCAGCUCGCUGGGACGUUACUGACGCUGAGACGCGAAAGCGUGGGGAGCAAACAGG
rnacentral:rRNA from 1 species